rnacentral:rRNA from 1 species
GCUCUAUAACCCUUUGUGAACAUACCUACAACUGUUGCUUCGGCGGGUAGGCCGUCCCCUGAAAAGGACGCCUCCCGGCCCGGACCGGACCCCCUGUGGGGCCGGACUCGGCGCCCGCCGGAGGAUAACCAAACGCUAUUUUAACGACGUUUCUUCUGAGUGGCAUAAGCAAAAUAAUCAAAACUUUUAACAACGGAUCUCUUGGUUCUGGCAUCGAUGAAGAACGCAGCGAAAUGCGAUAAGUAAUGUGAAUUGCAGAAUUCAGUGAAUCAUCGAAUCUUUGAACGCACAUUGCGCCCGCCAGCAUUCUGGCGGGCAUGCCUGUUCGAGCGUCAUUUCAACCCUCAAGCUCUGCUUGGUGUUGGGGCUCUACGGUCGACGUAGGCCCUCAAAGGUAGUGGCGGACCCUCCCGGAGCCUCCUUUGCGUAGUAACAUUUCGUCUCGCACUGGGAUCCGGAGGGACUCUUGCCGUAAAACCCCCCAAUUUUUCAAGGUUGACCUCGGAUCAGGUAGGAAUACCCGCUGAACUUAAGCAUAUCAAUAAGCGGAGGAA